UUAUGGCUCAGGAUGAACGCUAGCUACAGGCUUAACACAUGCAAGUCGAGGGGCAGCAUUAUCGAAGCUUGCUUGAUAGAUGGCGACCGGCGCACGGGUGAGUAACGCGUAUCCAACCUUCCCCUUAGUAGGGCAUAGCCCGUAGAAAUGCGGAUUAAUACCCUAUGUUGUAUUAUGAGGACAUCUGAAUAAUACCAAAGGUUCACCGCUAAGGGGAUGGGGAUGCGUCUGAUUAGGUUGUUGGCGGGGUAACGGCCCACCAAGCCAUCGAUCAGUAGGGGUUCUGAGAGGAAGGUCCCCCACAUUGGAACUGAGACACGGUCCAAACUCCUACGGGAGGCAGCAGUGAGGAAUAUUGGUCAAUGGGCGAGAGCCUGAACCAGCCAAGUAAGCGUGCAGGAUGACGGCCCUAUGGGUUGUAAACUGCUUUUAUACAGGGAUAAAGUCGGGGACGUGUCCCCGUUUGUAGGUACUGUAUGAAUAAGGACCGGCUAAUUCCGUGCCAGCCGCCGC
rnacentral:rRNA from 1 species